CCUACGGGAGGCAGCAGUGAGGAAUAUUGGUCAAUGGUCGGGAGACUGAACCAGCCAAGCCGCGUGAGGGAUGAAGGUACAGAGUAUCGUAAACCUCUUUUGUCAGGGAACAAAGGCGGGGACGUGUCCCCGGAUGAGUGUACCUGAAGAAAAAGCAUCGGCUAACCCCGUGCCAGCAGCCGCGGUAAUACGGAGGAUGCGAGCGUUAUCCGGAUCUAUGGGGUUAAAGGGGUGCGCAGGCGGUCUGUUAAGUCAGCGGUAAAAGCCCGGGGCCAAACCCCGGCCCGCCGUUGAAACUGGCAGUCUCGAGUUGGAGAGAAGUAUGCGGAAUGCGCGGUGUAGCGGUGAAAUGCAUAGAUAUCGCGCAGAACUCCGAUUGCGAAGGCAGCAUGCCGGCUCCACACUGACGCUGAGGCACGAAAGCGUGGGUAUCGAACAGGAUUAGAUACCCGGGUAGUC
rnacentral:rRNA from 1 species